GGCGAGAUGGCCGAGUGGUCUAAGGCGCUAGAAUCAGGUUUCGAUUGAACAUCUUGCCAUCUAGUCCGAAAGGGCGGGGGUUCGAAUCCCCCUCUCGUCA